CAGUAGCCGCGGUAAUACGUAGGUGGCAAGCGUUGUCCGGAAUUAUUGGGCGUAAAGGGCUCGCAGGCGGUUUCUUAAGUCUGAUGUGAAAGCCCCCGGCUCAACCGGGGAGGGUCAUUGGAAACUGGGAAACUUGAGUGCAGAAGAGGAGAGUGGAAUUCCACGUGUAGCGGUGAAAUGCGUAGAGAUGUGGAGGAACACCAGUGGCGAAGGCGACUCUCUGGUCUGUAACUGACGCUGAGGAGCGAAAGCGUGGGGAGCGAACAGGAUUAGAUACCCCCGUAGUCCCUGUCUCUUAUAC
rnacentral:rRNA from 1 species